rnacentral:rRNA from 1 species
AGUGAACGCUGGCGGUAGGCCUAACACAUGCAAGUCGAACGGCAGCACAGUAAGAGCUUGCUCUUACGGGUGGCGAGUGGCGGACGGGUGAGGAAUACAUCGGCAUCUACUUUUUCGUGGGGGAUAACGUAGGGAAACUUAUGCUAAUACCGCAUACGACCUACGGGUGAAAGCAGGGGAUCUUCGGACCUUGCGCGACUGAAUGAGCCGAUGUCGGAUUAGCUAGUUGGCGGGGUAAAGGCCCACCAAGGCGACGAUCCGUAGCUGGUCUGAGAGGAUGAUCAGCCACACUGGAACUGAGACACGGUCCAGACUCCUACGGGAGGCAGCAGUGGGGAAUAUUGGACAAUGGGCGCAAGCCUGAUCCAGCCAUACCGCGUGAGUGAAGAAGGCCUUCGGGUUGUAAAGCCCUUUUGUUGGGAAAGAAAAACAGCAGGUUAAUACCCCGCUGUUCUGACGGUACCCAAAGAAUAAGCACCGGCUAACUUCGUG